rnacentral:rRNA from 1 species
CCUACGGGAGGCAGCAGUAGGGAAUAUUGCUCAAUGGGGGAAACCCUGAAGCAGCAACGCCGCGUGGAGGAUGAAGGUUUUAGGAUUGUAAACUCCUUUUGUUAGAGAAGAUUAUGACGGUAUCUAACGAAUAAGCACCGGCUAACUCCGUGCCAGCAGCCGCGGUAAUACGGAGGGUGCAAGCGUUACUCGGAAUCACUGGGCGUAAAGAGUGCGUAGGCGGGGUAAUAAGUCAGAUGUGAAAUCCUGUAGCUUAACUACAGAACUGCAUUUGAAACUGUUACUCUGGAGUGUGGGAGAGGUAGGUGGAAUUCUUGGUGUAGGGGUAAAAUCCGUAGAGAUCAAGAGGAAUACUCAUUGCGAAGGCGACCUGCUGGAACAUUACUGACGCUGAUGCACGAAAGCGUGGGGAGCAAACAGGAUUAGAUACCCCAGUAGUC